rnacentral:rRNA from 1 species
AAGCAAAGCUAACUGCAUUUAUAUGUAGUUACUAUUUUUUAGUUUAAAAUUCUAGAUAGAAUUAUGAUGAUGACAUUAUCUAUCUAUUAGUCUUGACCAAAUUGCGUGCCAGCAGUCGCGGUAAUACGCAGAAGACAAGUGUUAUUCAUCUUUAUUGGGUUUAAAGAGUACCAAGACGGUUAAUAAAGCCUAGUCAUACAAGAUAAAAGGGGACACAUUAACUAGAGUUAUAUGAAAGGAAGCUUUAAGGUACUGCUGUGUGUAGAGAUAAAAUUCAUUAAUACCAGACUAAGGCACAGAUUUAUGCGAAGGCAUCUUCUUAUGUAAUAACUGACGUUGUAGGACGAAGGCUUUUGUAGUGAAAAGGAUUAGAGACCCAAGUAAUCUAAGCAGAAAAUGAUGAAUGUCAUAGGUUUAAUAAGUCUAUAAAUGAAAGUGUAAGCAUUCCACCUCAAGAGUAAUUUGGCAACAUUGGAACUGAAAUCAUUAGACCGUUUCUGAAAUCAGUAGUGAAGUAUGUUGUUUAAUUAGAUGAUACACAAAAAACCUUACCACAAUUUGAAUAUAUAUCUUUAAAGAUAUUUACAAGCGUUGCACGGCUGUCUUCAGUUAAUGUCGUGAGAUUUUGGUUAGUUCCAAAAAAUUAACGUAAACCCUCGUUUUAUUUAGAAAUAAAAUUUAGAUCUAUUU